UCCCCCGAGAGCGAGAUCCUUUUCACAAUUUCUAGCGAUACUUUGCCCAAACGACACUAGCGAUACCUUCCUAUUUCCAGCGAGAACUCUCCCGAGAGCGAGAUUCCCUUCACAAUUUUAGCGAGAUCCCCUUCAUUAGCAAGCUGUUUGCUUGUUCUUCCCAAGCAGCUGUUUGCUUAUUCACAAGUUCCUUGUAGUUUGGCCUAGAAAUCCAAAUCUUCACCUUGGGCCUUGAUUAACCCAAGAUUCUGUCUCUCCUGCAAUUUCAUCACUUUCCCCUCUUCUUUUUCUGCCAUUUUCCUCUAGCACAACAAAUUUGAGAAUUAAGUUCUCUCAACUUUUCAUAUGGCAUUGAUUUCACCAAAUUUGUUAUGUAGAUUGCCAAACCGGGCUUUCGAGGUUCUUUCUCCUUUUUAAUCCUCCUGCCACCUCUUAACUCAAGGAUAAUUUGCCACGUUAAUGCAUUUCCAAUGUCUCAGCCCAAGUCAAUAAGUGGAUUUCUUUAUUCAGUACGUUUUCUUUUCCCUUCUUCUCAGCCUUUAUAAUUUGCAUGCAUUUUCACUUACAUGGUAUUUAAUAUAUCAUUCCCUUGGCAACACAUACUUGUUUAGAAGUUUAGAUUCUGAGGUUUACACUUAGCUUAUACAAGCUUAUUUCUUCAUGCUUCCACCCUCUAUCCUUCCUGAGUCAUGGCUUCAUUCGAUUCAUUAAGAGACGUCUCAUUACUUUCUCUUACAAUUAGGGUUCGAGCUUUAUAGUUAGAGUAUGACUGGUACCAACGAAUAAGAAGAUGGCUUACAUGUAGUGCAUAGUCAAUGCACGUGUGCUCUCAUCCGAGCCAAUUAAUGUCUAAUGGUGGCAGGAGAACGUGUCCCAUUGGUCAUCAGAGAGGCUCAGUUAUGACCUAACCAUGACGGUGAGGAUGAGCCCUCCCAUCGACACAAUGAAAUUGAUCAGUUUUUGGGGGCAUGUUGACUCUUAUUAGUCUCUAAGUCACCUUGACGUUGAUCAGUCUCCAGGGCAUAUUGACAUCGAAAACCAUUCUUCUACACGUAGUGACGCCGAUCUUCAAGACAGUGGAGAUACUGGCAUCGAUCUCGUAUGUGAUAACAACCAUGAACGUAAAGGAGUGCAGUAUCCUCAUAUGGUGGAGGAACCCCAUAUCGUAGAGGAACUAAGAUGGAUUGAAGACCACCUUGAUGACUUUGAGGCUGGUGUGAGGUUUAUGUUCAAUCAAUUCGAGGCUGGGCGGGACAUUAAAGUUAUGAUGGGAUAUCCAUGCAACUAUUGAAGAAGAUCGGACUACAAUCAAUAGCCCCAACAACUCACAUGAAUUUGGUGGCCGAUCUAGGGUUGGAAAAGAUGGAGGAGACAUUGGUAUCGAAUAGUUUCAAGAAGAAACUGUAGGAGCAGUUUGCAUCAAUGAACUUAGGGAUCCGGUACGUAGAGCAGAUGUUGUCAUAAUAGUAGACUCACAGGAAGCCGAUGUCAACCCUAAACCAAUAUUAUUUGAGUCACAGGACAUCGGUGUCAACUCAAAGGUCAUAUUAGUCGAGUCCCAUGAUGUUAUUAACAGGGAAAAGGACAAUCCUCAAGAAGCCAGCAAAAACAGUGGCAAGGACGAAUUGGAUGGGUCGUCUAUAAGUGCACCUUUCACUCAAUUUACUCAGUCAAACAUCAAGUUUAUUUUAACAUGCUAGCUUUAUUCAUCAGGAUGUACACAUUGUUCAAAACAAUGACAAGAGCAUGAGGAAGAAUGUUGACAAUACAUUCGUCCACUCAAGUCCUCGUGAACAACGCUGAAAAGAAGUGGCAAGUGCAAAGCUUCCGCCACUUCAGAUAUUUGAUGUACCUAAUUGGACGAUGACGAAAAGAGCAAGCAGAAGACUGUUGGGAUGAUUGCAGCCUCCCGUAGACAUCAGCCAAAAAUCAGUCUCAAGUGCAAAGCCCCUGCCACUUCAAUUACAGGGAAUGUGGACGUUAAUGUUUUACAAGUUUGUUGAACAUACUAUUCGAUGAUCCUCGUAUUGGUUAUUAAUUGAUAGACCCAUAACACGCAGGGUAGCUAUACGAUCAACUCUGCUCUAAAGAAAAUUUACGAGGCAAGCAGAGUGGCAAUAUCGCCUUUGGAGAACAGUGGGAAGCCGAUCGACUGGAUAUGAAACAUGAGCUCAUAGAAUUGGACGAACCUACCAUUCUAGUUCUGUCGCAUGGAAGGCGUGAAGAAGUAUGGCGAGAACGAAGGGUUUUGUGGGAACUUUGAGUCCUUAUACGACCCCGGAUCUUAAGUCAAAGAAGUCCAAGGGAUGACGAAAAAAAUAUGACCUAAUGAUACCCACCCCAAAACGGUCCAAGAAGUUAAUCAACAAUUGGAUCGAUGAUCCACGGAUAACCUCGACCAACUCAUUGCAGAUGUGUGUACUAUCAGUGAUGGGGAAAGACUAGUGGAUAAGCCAGCUUCGUUCACAUGCAUUUAUGAAUGACGAGGUAACCUACCAUACUCUCACUCCAACUACUUUAUGUCUUAGUACGUGUUUAUGGUAUUUCAUAAAAGUUUUACUUUCUAACUGCAAACUGUUGAUUUUUGUUUGUAUUCCUACGGAAGAAGAUAAUAAGUGAUAAGUCUCUAGCUAAAAUCAAACGUAAUUUCACAACAUCUGAUCGAGUCAUUACUGUAAGUUGUAAAUAUUAUUUAAUUGUAAUUAUUUUUGUGUGAUCAUGUGGUUGGAACAAGUAUCUUUUUCAACAGAAAUUCUUCUGACGAUCAAACAUUCUAUAUGUUGAAUGGAAACGACCAGAAUGAAAAAUAAUGUAUGACUGGGACAAAGCCCACAUAGUGGUGAAGUAUGUAAAGGGUGAUCGGACUUACUACAAUAUUUUGUGGGCAACAGUUGAUACUAUAUACAUGUAUAACAUACUGAACAUACAUUGGAUUCUGGUCAAGAUUGACAUGGUCUGUGGAAGGUUAGUUGUUUAGGAUUCAUACAAAAGAAUGUGUACUCACUUAAAACUAGAAGGCCAAUCAAAAGUUAUGCAGACUGUAGUACCCACGUAACUUGAUAAAGUGGGGGUGACAUUGACGUGCAAUAACCUGCCAUUAACGCCUUAAGAAGUGGAGCAAAUCCUAGGUGCCCCACCACAAUCAGUUAGUGGGGACUAUGGUGUAUUUUGUGCUAAAUGUUUUGAAUAUGUUGUAAUUGGGUCAAAUUGACCCAAGCAAAUAUGGAAUUCUUUAGACGUCAAUUUAUUGU